rnacentral:rRNA from 1 species
UUGCACGCUGGCGGCAUGCCUUACACAUGCAAGUCGAACGGCAGCGCGGACUUCGGUCUGGCGGCGAGUGGCGAACGGGUGAGUAAUACAUCGGAACGUACCCUGUUGUGGGGGAUAACUAGUCGAAAGAUUAGCUAAUACCGCAUACGACCUGAGGGUGAAAGUGGGGGACCGGAAACGGCCUCAUGCAGCAGGAGCGGCCGAUGUCUGAUUAGCUAGUUGGUGGGGUAAAGGCCCACCAAGGCGACGAUCAGUAGCUGGUCUGAGAGGACGAUCAGCCACACUGGGACUGAGACACGGCCCAGACUCCUACGGGAGGCAGCAGUGGGGAAUUUUGGACAAUGGGGGCAACCCUGAUCCAGCAAUGCCGCGUGUGUGAAGAAGGCCUUCGGGUUGUAAAGCACUUUUGUCCGGAAAGAAAUCGCGCUGGUUAAUACCUGGCGUGGAUGACGGUACCGGAAGAAUAAGCACCGGCUAACUACGUG